UGGGAACCUUCCCUAUGGUUCGGAAUAGGCUCAGGGGAAACCUUGGGGUAAUACCGGAUAAGCCCUUCGGGGGAAAGAUUUAUCGCCGAAACGAUUGGCCCGCGUCUGAUUAGCUAGUUGGUGAGGUAAUGGCUCACCAAGGCGACGAUCAGUAGCUGGUCUGAGAGGAUGAUCAGCCACAUUGGGACUGAGACACGGCCCAAACUCCCUACGGGAGGCAG
rnacentral:rRNA from 1 species